CAUGACAGGGAGUUGGAAUGAGAUGAUCUUUGGGAUUCCUUCCAACUCAAACCACUCUGUGAUUCUAUGAUUUUUACUUUCUUGGCCCACUGGUCUUCAGUGACCUUCAAAAUCCCUCCAGCAGCUCUUAAAGGUGGGGGAAGAGAGGGAACAAGAUGGGAGGAGAGGUUGUGAGCAGGAGAUAGCUGGUCCUUGCAGCACACAGGGGGUGUGUUUGUAUGUGUGUGUGCAUGGACUUUCUAUUGGGCUGAUGAAAGGACUGGGAGCUCUUGAAGCUGGAGCCAAGGUUUGUCGCUGUCAUUGCUGCUGUUCCCAGCUUUCCAGCAGGUUUGCUCUGCAGAGAGCUGCAGGUUGGCUAUGAAAUAUGACAAAGCGUUCAUUUAAAUGCACACCAUGAUGUCGGCGAGUCCAUUAGGGGAAUUAAUUUGAAUGGUUGGCAUUUAAUAAACAGCCUCGUCCCUCCUCUCCACACACAACCCUCCCCCCCCCCCUCACCACCGCCGGCAUCUUGGAAGGGUUAAAAAGAAACCACAUGUGGAUAUUGGAAGGAGUGGGGAGCAGGUAUCUGGGUCUGGGGAAGGGGGGGGGGGAAUAAUAGAAGAGAUCUGGUGUUAGAAGAAGAAUUGCAGUUUGUUUUGUUCGCUGUAAAAAAAAAGCACAUGUGGAAGGGUUUUGGGUUCACGGGGUGUUUGGUGCAUGGAGAAAACAAGGGGGUGAAGGAGGAGGACACGCUCCGGCCGGAGGGUCCCAGCCUGGCUCCGAACACGCCGGGCUGGGGGGAGGCUGAGGGGGCUCCAGGGACGUGGCUCCCCAUAUGGUGUGUAUUACAAGCUCCUUUCUAGUUGUAAAGAUUAAUUUAAAGCCUUUCUCACCUCCCCCCCGUCCCUCUUCCAUUGACAAAUGAACAUCUGGGCUGAAUGCUGCCCAGAUCCUAAUCAAAGCAUUUUUUCCAGGGCCGUUGUCUGCCUUUAUGGCUAUCUGCUCUUCGGGUGCUCUUGCAGUUCCAAUGCACUUGGCAAUUCAGCCUGUAAAUACCCCUCUCCGGGAUUUAUGAUUCGGGAUAAUGUGAUUUUUCUCUUUGCCUCUGGAUUCGUUUGUUUGGUUUAGUUUAACGACAUUUCCUUGUCUGUGCAUAAGUGAGGGCACGCAGGGAAUUUUUUUCCCCUCCCCUCUUUGCAGGGAUUUAUUAGCAAUGAGCAAAAAUGGCUUUUUUGGGGGGCUGAUGGACACAGCGGGGGGGCCAAAGCCAGCCCUGAAUCCGUGAUGAGCAACCCCAGUCAUCACAAACCAUCUGUUUUUUCCUACAGAAAGCUUGUUUUUGAGAUUUUACCGAGAAAGCAGCUUUCCACCAAAGAAAAGCCAAGCCCUUUUCACAAUGUUUGAGGGCUACUUCAUCAGGGAGAGGCAGCAGGAGGCACAGUCCAGUAUGGAAAAGCUGUUUGCUCCCCAAAAUGAGGCUCGAGAAGCCAAAUGAGAUGCUUGAAAAACCGUGAGUGCUGCGGCUGGAAUCCCAUUCCCAUCAGACUUGAUUUUUCCCCUGCAAGCUCCAGUUUGGGAGUUAAGGGAUUAAUAUAUAAAACCUUAGAUGUUGAACAGUGUUGGCAUGUCCCAGGUGCUGUAGGAAAGGAUGGUGCUUGAGAUGGGGCAAAAAGGCAGGAAAAUCCCUUUAAGGCAAAUAUAGGGACUCGCAGAGGAUGUGGCACUGGGUCCUGUGUUUGUCCCUGUACCUGAAGGGGGAGAGAGCUGGGAAAUACAAAGAUGAUGGGUUUGGGGUACUCUUGCAGAAAUUCUGCUCCCUGGACCUGGGCUUCCCUUUCCCUCUGGCAGAAUGGCAGGGCCAGUUGUUCAUCCCAGUGGAUGGUGUGUGACUUCAGUCCAUUUAAACCACCACGGAGGGGUCGUGUUUAUACAGCAAGUGCGUGGGGUAAUGGCACCUGUAAUUAAAAACGUUCUCCCAAGUGAAAUAAAAAAUCACUGUGGUGGAAAGCUCUUGGCUGCUUCUCCUUGGCUCUCCAGGACAAGGUGCAACCUGGAUUUUGGUGAUGCAGGGCUGGGAAUCAUCCAUCACUGGGACCCUCUCCACCCAGGGAUGUCACUGGAGAAGCAGAGAUGCAGGUAAAUCCCCCAUUACAGGCCCUGGGCUUGUUUUUCCUAAGAAACUCUGAAUUUCACACAAAUACAAGGAGCUGGGAUGCAGCAGAGAGAUCCCUGAAAGUGAAUCUGGGAAUAUGAAGAGCCAGAGCUGGGCUCACGAGGGGUGUGGGGCUGAGGUGACCCCAUCACCGACCCUGGACGAGGGCAACUCCCUGUGCAGAGUUCCAGAGGCAGGGAAACACCUUCUUGAAUAUCCAGAGGAGGCUCUGGGGUGAAUUUUAAUUUCUGUUCAUUUUUGUUGUUGAUUUUUAGAGUGCUUGGCACCUCCUGCCUCUUUUUCAUUCCUUUCCUCCUUGAUUCCCUCCAAAUGAGCAGGAAGCAAGGCUGCUGACCAUGGAUCUUCCCAGCAAUGCCAUUGCUGUCCUGUCCAUCCCGAGAUAAGGGUGAAGUCUGGCAUCCAUCUGCAGCUGAGCCAGUGCAUCCCUGAGGUGAGAGUGGCCACCGGCAGCCCCAGGGAAGAGGCCCCAAUUUCUCCCCUGUCGAGGCAAACGCUUUGGCUAAUUAGCAAAACGUGUCAAAGAAAAUGAUUAAUGUCCCGGGAGGAGGCUGAGCUGCCUUUGUGCCGGCAUUGCCUGACUUCUGCUCUUAAAGGUUUUAUUAAAAGAUAAGGGAGCUCGUGACGGGGAACCUCUCGUGCUGCUGAUUCAGAAAUAAACCUGAGGAGUGGUUGGCAGUGAAGGCAGUGGAGACUGGGAAAAGGAGCGCCCUCCCUUUGGAAGCAGCGGGGUUUGAGCCCUCGCCUGUGACGCAGUUUUGCUCUUAGAUAUAAAUAAAAACAUAAAUAUAUAUAUA